rnacentral:rRNA from 1 species
CCCGCUGAACUUAAGCAUAUCAAUAAGCGGAGGAAAAGAAACUAACAAGGAUUCCCCUAGUAACUGCGAGUGAAGAGGGAAAAGCUCAAAUUUUGAAUCUGGCGGUCUUUCGGUCGUCCGAGUUGUAAUCUAGAGAAGCGUCUUCCGCGCUGGACCGUGUAUAAGUUUCCUGGAAUGGAACGUCGUAGAGGGUGAGAAUCCCGUCUUUGACACGGACUACCAGGGCUAUGUGAUGCGCUCUCGACGAGUCGAGUUGUUUGGGAAUGCAGCUCAAAUAGGGUGGUAAAUUCCAUCUAAAGCUAAAUACAGGCGAGAGACCGAUAGCGAACAAGUACCGUGAGGGAAAGAUGAAAAGAACUUUGGAAAGAGAGUUAAACAGUACGUGAAAUUGUUAAAAGGGAAACGAUUGAAGUCAGUCGCGUCUACUUGGACUCAGCCUUACCUCGGUUUGGUGCAUUUCCUUGUGGACGGGCCAGUGUCCAUGUUGAUUGCUGGAAAAGGUUCAGGGGAAUGUGGCUCUUUUAGAGUGUUAUAGCCUCUGUUCAUAUACAGUAGUUGAUAUGGAGUGAUACAGCAUGCUUCGGCGGUGCUUGUACUGGCAUAAUGGCUUUAAACGACCCGUCUUGAAACACGG